GACGAACGCUGGCGGCGUGCUUAACACAUGCAAGUCGAACAGUGGCGAACGGGUGAGUAACGCGUAGGUAACUGCCUAUUAGAGGGGGAUAACUAUUGGAAACGAUAGCUAAUACCGCAUACUAGUAGAUGGACCUGCGUUGUAUUAGCUAGUAGGUAGGGUAAUGGCCUACCUAGGCAACGAUACAUAGCCGACCUGAGAGGGUGAUCGGGCAACCGUGGACUGAGAAACGGCCCAGACUCCUACGGGAGGCAGCAGUAGGGAAUCUUCGGCAAUGGGGGGAAACCUUACCGAGCAACGCCGCGGGAUUGAAGAAGGUUUUCGGAUCGUAAAGCUCUGUGGUUAAGGAAGCGGUACUUAACCAGAAAGGGACGGCUAACUACGUGCCAGCAGCCGCGGUAAUUC
rnacentral:rRNA from 1 species